GAGCCAGACUCCUACGGGAGGCAGCAGUGGGGAAUUUUGCGCAAUGGGGGAAACCCUGACGCAGCAACGCCGCGUGCGGGACGAAGGCCCUCGGGCUGUAAACCGCUUUCAGCAGGGAAGACAUCGACGGUACCUGCAGAAGAAGCUCCGGCUAACUACGUGCCAGCAGCCGCGGUAAUACGUAGGUGGCAAGCGUUGUCCGGAAUUACUGGGUGUAAAGGGAGCGCAGGCGGGAAGCCAAGUCAGCUGUGAAAACUACGGGCUUAACUUGUAGACUGCAGUUGAAACUGGUUUUCUUGAGUGAAGUAGAGGUUGGCGGAAUUCCGAGUGUAGCGGUGAAAUGCGUAGAUAUUCGGAGGAACACCGGUGGCGAAGGCGGCCAACUGGGCUUUAACUGACGCUGAGGCUCGAAAGUGUGGGGAGCAAACAGGAUUAGAUACCCUUGUAC
rnacentral:rRNA from 1 species